UACAGAGGUCUCAAGCGUUGUUCGGAUUUAUUGGGCGUAAAGGGUGUGUAGGUGGCGCGCUAAGUCGGGUGUGAAAUUUCGGAGCUUAACUCCGAAACUGCAUUCGAUACUGGCGUGCUUGAGGACUGGAGAGGAGACUGGAAUUCAUGGUGUAGCAGUGAAAUGCGUAGAGAUCAUGAGGAAGACCAGUGGCGAAGGCGGGUCUCUGGACAGUUCCUGACGCUGAGACACGAAGGCCAGGGGAGCAAACGGG
rnacentral:rRNA from 1 species